rnacentral:rRNA from 1 species
AUACGGAAGGUCCGGGCGUUAUCCGGAUUUAUUGGGUUUAAAGGGAGCGCAGGCGGAGAUGCAAGCGUGACGUCAAAUUUCGGGGCUCAACCCCGUCUCGCGUCGCGAACUGCGUCCCUUGGUUGCGGGAAGGGGAGGCGGAACUCGUGGUGUAGCGGUGAAAUGCAUAGAUAUCACGAAGAACUCCGAUCGCGAAGGCAGCCUUCCGGCCCGUCAACGACGCUCAUGCUCGAAGGUGCGGGUAUCAAACAGGAUUAGAUACCCUGGUAGUCCACGCAGUAAACGAUGAUGACUAACCGUCGGCGAUACACAGUCGGUGGCCAAGCGAAAGCGAUAAGUCAUCCACCUGGGGAGUACGUUCGCAAGAAUGAAACUCAAAGGAAUUGACGGGG